GUCAGGAUGGCCGAGCGGUCUAGGCGCAGCGGUGCGUCAGGUCGCGCAGUCUCCCCUGGAGGCGUGGGUUCAAAUCCCACUUCUGACA